GAAGAGUGUUUUGAACACAAAGAAUUGCUAAUUCCAAGCCCUGAGGUUAAACCCCCCAGACUCUUUA
rnacentral:tRNA from 1 species